rnacentral:lncRNA from 1 species
CAAUGAGCGCCUGCAGCGCGCACGCGCAGGGCGUCCCGAGGCGUGGCCGAGGUCACGUGGCCACCCCGUUUCCUCACCACCACUGUGGGCGCGGACCCGGCGGGUUCGCACGUGCGGGAUCCCUGAGGACCCUGUGUCAUUACGAUCUCGCUGGAUUUUAAAGUUGGGCCCCCAAGCCGGACGUGGUGGCGCACGCCUGUCAUCCCAACACUGAGGAGGCUGGGGCAGGAGGAUCGCCCCAAGUUCAAGACCAGCCUGGUCUACACAGUGAGUUUAAAGCCAGCCUGAACUACAAAGCGAGACUCUGUCUCAUAAAACAAAAAUAAAUAAAUAAAGCGUGGCCUCCGUCCCUGCAGCCCCU